rnacentral:rRNA from 1 species
AAUACAUGCAAGUCGAACGAGAUCUUCGGAUCUAGUGGCGCACGGGUGCGUAACGCGUGGGAAUCUGCCCUUGGGUUCGGAAUAACAGCGGGAAACUGCUGCUAAUACCGGAUGAUGACGAAAGUCCAAAGAUUUAUCGCCCAAGGAUGAGCCCGCGUAGGAUUAGGUAGUUGGUGGGGUAAAGGCCUACCAAGCCUACGAUCCUUAGCUGGUCUGAGAGGAUGAUCAGCCACACUGGGACUGAGACACGGCCCAGACUCCUACGGGAGGCAGCAGUAGGGAAUAUUGGACAAUGGGGGCAACCCUGAUCCAGCAAUGCCGCGUGAGUGAUGAAGGCCUUAGGGUUGUAAAGCUCUUUUACCCGGGAUGAUAAUGACAGUACCGGGAGAAUAAGCCCCGGCUAACUCCGUGCCAGCAGCCGCGGUAAUACGGAGGGGGCUAGCGUUGUUCGGAAUUACUGGGCGUAAAGCGCACGUAGGCGGCGAUUUAAGUCAGAGGUGAAAGCCCGGGGCUCAACCCCGGAACUGCCUUUGAGACUGGAUUGCUAGAAUCUUGGAGAGGCGGGUGGAAUUCCGAGUGUAGAGGUGA